GAGUUUGAUCCUGGCUCAGAAGGAACGCUGGCAGCGUGCAUAACACAUGCAAGUCGAACGCGAAAGAAUCCUUCGGGAUUUGGACGAGUGGCGAACGGGUGAGGAACACGUAAGAAUCUACCUUUCGGUUGGGGAUAACUUCUGGAAACGGGAGCUAAUACCCAAUAUGCUGUGGAGUGAAAGAAUUUCGCCGAGAGACGAUCUUGCGUCUGAUUAGCUUGUUGGGGUGGUAAUGGCACACCAAGGCGACGAUCAGUAGCUGGUCUGAGAGGAUGGACAGCCACAUUGGGACUGAGACACGGCCCAAACUCCUACGGGAGGCAGCAGUGGGGAACCUUGCACAAUGGAGGAAACUCUGAUGCAGCGAUGCCGCGUGAGUGAAGAAGGCCUUUGGGUUGUAAAGCUCUUUCGUCGGGGAAGAAAAUGACUGUACCCGAAUAAGAAGGUCCGGCUAACUUCGUGCCAGCAGCCGCGGUAAUACGAAGGGACCUAGCGUAGUUCGGAAUUACUGGGCUUAAAGAGUUCGUAGGUGGUUGAAAAAGUUGGUGGUGAAAUCCCAGAGCUUAACUCUGGAACUGCCAUCAAAACUUUUCAGCUAGAGUAUGAUAGAGGAAAGCAGAAUUUCUAGUGUAGAGGUGAAAUUCGUAGAUAUUAGAAAGAAUACCAAUUGCGAAGGCAGCUUUCUGGAUCAUUACUGACACUGAGGAACGAAAGCAUGGGUAGCGAAGAGGAUUAGAUACCCUCGUAGUCCAUGCCGUAAACGAUGUGUGUUAGACGUUGGAAAUUUAUUUUCAGUGUCGCAGGGAAACCGAUAAACACACCGCCUGGGGAGUACGACCGCAAGGUUAAAACUCAAAUGAAUUGACGGGGACCCGCACAAGUAGUGGAGCAUGUGGUUUAAUUCGAAGAUACGCGCAGAACCUUACCAACACUUGACAUGUUCGUCGCGACUCUAAGAGAUUAGAGUUUUCGGUUCGGCCGGACGAAACACAGGUGCUGCAUGGCUGUCGUCAGCUCGUGUCGUGAGAUGUUGGGUUAAGUCCCGCAACGAGCGCAACCCUCACUUUUAGUUGCCAUCAUUAAGUUGGGCACUCUGAAAGAACUGCCAGUGAUAAGCUGGAGGAAGGUGGGGAUGACGUCAAGUCCUCAUGGCCCUUACGUGUUGGGCUACACACGUGCUACAAUGGCAUCUACAACAGGAAGCAAAACGGCAACGUUAAGCAAAUCCCGAAAAGAUGCCUCAGUUCGGAUUGCACUCUGCAACUCGAGUGCAUGAAGCUGGAAUUACUAGUAAUCGUGGAUCAGCGUGCCACGGUGAAUGCGUUCCCGGGUCUUGUACACACCGCCCGUCACACCAUGGGAGUUGGUUCUACCUUAAGGCAAGGUUUUAAACCCUUGACCACGGUAUAGUCAGCGACUGGGGUGAAGUCGUGGCAAGGUAACC
rnacentral:rRNA from 1 species